CUGCUGUAAAAAAGAACUCUUUCGCGAAGGCCUGCAGCUGGUGUUGACGCGAUGUGAUUUCUGCCCAGUGAUCUGAAUGUCAAAGUGAAGAAAUUCAAUGAAGCGCGGUAAACGGCAGGAGUAACUAUUACUCUUCUACGGUAGCCAAAUGCCUCGUCAUCUAAUUAGUGAUGCACAUGAAUGGAUGAACAAG
rnacentral:ncRNA from 1 species